CUGGGGAGGGCAGGUCCAUCCCUAAGUGGAAACUUGUUCUCUGUCAAACAUGAGCCAAGUCCAUCUGCCCCACACCUUCUUUACACGAAUGUUCUCCCGGCUUCUUGGGAAAGUAACUUUAUCCUAGUCCCUCCAAGCUGAGGCCAAGAAUUGAAAUGUUAGCAGAGGCUCACUGGGAAGCAGGAACAGAAAUCAAACAGCUCGAGAUGUGACCCUUCUUGCCCAUUGCAACUCGGAUGGCUCGACUUCCAGCUGGAAUGUGGAGCGCAGACCUCAUGGCACACACUGAAACGGCUGAAACUCACACCUGGAUCCCACACCAACCCGUUGGUACGAGGAAGUUGGGAUUUCCUGAACCCGGAGCACUGAUUUUUGUAAUUUUUCUUUCUUUCUUUCUGUUUUAACUGUUCCUUUCUAACUUUUAAGGAAGUGGGGAAUGUGUGUGGGCAGAGAGGCUGAUUUGGUUAGCAGCAGAUUUCUCCUCCACUUGCUUCGUGCAGUGAAUUUAGGAGCUCAGAGAGAAAGGAAAACACAAUUAGAAUAGCCCACUCAUUUAUUGUUCCUGGCAGGUACGCUGAGGCCUCUGUGUUCCUGUCUAACACAGUACCUUCGCCUCUAGCCUUGGGAAAACAAAACCCUGAAUAACAUUGACCUCAUCACCCCUCCCUGAACGGAUGAAAUAAACAAGGGAAUCUUGGCCUGGAGAGAUGAAAUUCUCCAUCUCCCAGGAGGGGCAGAGGCAGGUCCCUGGAGAGCAGAGCUCCCCCUGCAGCUGGACCCCGUGCAAGCCAAGGCCGAGGAAUGGUCAGUGGGUGCACGAGCUGGUUGUAGUCUGUGGGCGUGGGGGUGUCCAAAGAGGCCAGAAUGUAAUAGGCACUCCUCUUGGGCUCUUUGGCCACUGGUUUAAUGUUUCUCUGGUUCCCUCUUCAGAGAGCUGCAUGGAGCUCACCGAGAGCUGGCUAAUGCCACAGACCCCCCAAGUUCUGGGGCCACAGUGAGGGAUAACCUCCUACUCCGGGGUGGCGCACAUCAACUAUGGGCCAAAUCAAUGGCAGCUCUCACCGCGAAGAAUUCUCUGCACCUUGAGUGGAAACUUCCCCACUGCAGAAGUGCUGUUCUUUGUGCCUCUGUGGGCUCCUCAGGAUGGUGAUGGAUUCUGAAGAUGGAUUUCACUAUGUGAACAUAAACCAUUGUGUUUAAAAUUGAAGAACUAGGAAAGGAAAAAAAAAAACAGGCGGAGUGCAGUGGCACACACCUGUAAUCCCAGUGGCUUGGGAGGCUGAGGCAGGAGGAUCACGAGUUCAAAGCCAGCCUCAGCAAAAAGCAAGGCGUUAAGCAAUUCAGUGAGACCCUGUCUCUAAAUACAAAACAGGGCUGGGGAUGUGUCUCAGUGGUCAAGUGCCCGAGUUCAAUCCCUGGUACCCCACACCCCCAAAAAACAGUACUCACUGAUUGCAAGUGUCUGAGGAAAUGGACACUUUUCCACACUGAUUGAGAAGGUGCACACUGUUAAUGAAACUUGGUGCCUUGUUUCAUUGCUAUAACAUAAUGCCACAAGAUGCGUAAUUUAUAAACAAUAGAAGUUUACUGGCUCACACUCUGGAAGCUGGGAUAUCGACGAACAUGGCACCAGCACCUGGAGAAGGUCUUAGUUCUGUGUCAUCAUGAAGUAGAUCAAGCAAGCAUGUGAUAAACAGAGAGGAGAUGGGGGAACUCAGCUUCUUGGUCAAGAACCCGCUCUCAUGAUAAUGAACCCACUCCUGCAAUCAAGGUAUGGGGCUCUGCCCUCAUGACCUAAUCGCCUCUUUAAAGUACCGCUUCUUAGUACUGCAGGGAAGCAGCAAUUAAAUUUCUUUUUCUUCUUCUUCUUUUAAAAAUAUUUUUGUAGUUGUAGAGGGACACAAUACCUUUAUUUUGUUUUUCGUAUGUGAUGCCAGGAAUCGAACCCAGUGCCUCACACAUGCUAGGCAAAUGCUCUGCCACUGAGCCCCAGCCCUAGCCCGCAGCAAUGAAAUUUCAACAUGAGUUUUGGAGGGGGACAGUCAAGCCAUAGCACUUGAAAAAGACAAUUUGGCACAAGUAUCAAAAUCCAUAUCCUUGACUCAGCCAUUUCACUUCCAGACAUUUUUCCUAAGUAAAGAAGUUAGUAGGCGGUUGCUGAGUAAAUUACCCCUUGCAUUUCUAAAAACUAUGGAAAUGCAUGUCUAGCAUAAAGGGAUUUGUUACAUAAGCACCAGGACCCCCAUGAAAUGUACUGGUACACAGCUGUAAAGUCAUGCUAGGGAACAUGUUAUGAAUCUAUUAUUCAAUGCAAAAAUCCAAAUGAUUUAAAAAUGUAAAGAGCAAAUGUAUUGUAUAAUCUCGAUUUUAUAUAUGAAAGGAUGUAUAAUAUCUGAUUUGGAGAAAAGAAUACAGACUAUCUCUGUAUGGUGAAAUAGGGAGUGAAUUUCAAUUUUUUUCAUUUGUGUUUUUCUGAAUAUUCUGUAAUAAACAUGCCAAUAUGCUUGUUAUCAGAGAAAAAUAAAUACUGUGAUUAUUAAAGAA